CUCAUUUAUGGAUUAACUGCAUUGACUUGAAAAUCUCAGUUACAUAUAAGAUUGAGAUAGUUCAAAUAUUUGAAUUUUAAAUUAGACAUAACAGGAACUUGACUAAGAUUAAAUCAGAUAUUUUAAUCUUGUCCAUGCUUUUUGAACUUUUAAAAUAAAUCAAAAUCUAGAAAACAAACAAAAGUCUAAAUAUUUCGAUAAGCUAGUAGCAUUUUUUUCGAUAAUUAUAAUUUUAAGAAAGAAAAAGGUCCACCCUAGCAUCAUCGCAAGAUCAUUUUUUCGACAUCAGAAUAUUUGCAAUUUAUUACUUGCAAACCGCAAACUCCAAGGGCAAGCUUCACCAUUAUCCACCCAAGCCAUCAGAUAGCCACUCUUUGCCCAAAGACUGCUCAAGAGCAAAAACAAUAGCUAAGAACUUAGAUUCAUUUGAAUCCUUAACUCCAACUGAUACCGCAAAUCUGCUAUUACAUUCACACUCAUUCCUCAAAAGUCAAAACAGCUCUAAUGCCGGCUUCACCCGGUUGACAAGUGAGUAACAUAAGAUUAAAAUAUUUGUAAUCAAAUACAACUUCUGCUUUAUAUUAUAUGCUUGUUUGGACUUCAAUUGGUAUGACUAUGAAGGCUCUACCCAACCUUCAUUUUAGUAAGUGUGGCAAUAACUGUAUAUUCUCAUAAAGUCAUAAUAAUCAAGGAUUAGGUGCAUUUGAAAAGCCAUGACAUGUAUUUACAAAAAUACAAAUAAAAAAUUGGGUGGUUCUAUGAUGUGUGCAGCAUUUUUAUACAUGGAACUUAUCAGUGUAUAGCAGUUCAAAUAUGUAGAUUGAUGUAGGAUUUGCAUUGGCUUAAGCCCUUAGGGUCAUCUAAGGGACUUGGUUUUCUUUCUUCUUUUUUUGGGAUAAAUGUCAAUAUUAGUAUAUAGGAUGGUCUGUAAUCCUAAAUGAAAUGAGAAACAUUGCAUUAACAAAAUAUUCAAUGUAUUGUUAUUUAAAAAGGUAAUUUUUAUCAUUAUUUCUAAGUGGAAGAUGUGUUGCUAGACUAGCAGAAACAAACAUAUAUAGCUUCUGAUUAUUUACAAGUAAUAAGCAAUGGAAAACUGCAUACCAGCCUGGCAGUA
rnacentral:lncRNA from 1 species